GGAGCCUGGGUUCUUCUGUGGGACUGGUGCUCCACGGCCGUGGCCUGGGGCUGCUCCUAUCUGAAAUGUCCUCAUGGGUAUUGGAAGCAGUGCCCGUGGAUGCCUUGCCCAGCAAAGUUUUGGAGGCCCUGGUGUAUCCCUGCAGUAGAGAAACAGCUAGGGGCAAGUGACAGGGAAAAGGAUCCUCUGCUUUGCAGGGCUACAGACUAAUGCUUGGAAAAUUUCAAUAUGAGUGGCAUGUCCUGUUCCAGGUUGCCUGGCUGUCCCCGCGGAGCUGGGUUUGGCCACAGCCUCGCCUAUACAAGGGAAGCUGCCCAGGAAGAGAGGGUUGCCAAUAAAGGGAAAGGUUGCCUCCCCCACUGAUAACCCUUAGGACUUGGAGACAGCCUCAGGUGCUGGCUCAGCAGAGGGGUUACCCCAUCCCCUCCCACCUUCCCUACAGGUUGGGCAGGUCUUCAUGUCCCCAGGACACAGUCAGGAAGUUCUGAGGAUGUGAUGCUGGUUGUAUGCAGAAGGCUGUGUGGGGCAUGGCACGGCACGGCACGGCACAGGGUAUCCAGGGGACUCCAUACAGGUGAACACACAGUGCCCCUGGUCACGUGGAAGGGGUGGUUGUGCUAAUCCUGGCCUCUGUCCUCUUCCAGGUGCACUCCCUUCGAGGCUGCUAUCCCAAACACCUGAAGGCAUUGGCUCCCUCCUCUGCCCUUUCUUCUUGUCCUGGGAGACAUAAGCCUGCAGCUGCUGUCAGCCCUACUAAUGUCCUACCAGCAGCACCUCCUCCCUAUCCCCCCACAAUCGUGGUGGCAGGGGAUGGCAUGUCCCAGCUAUGUGCCUCAAUCCCAGCACUGCUCUCUCCUCUUGGGCUCUCAUGAGUAUUGGCUCUGCCCUGGAGCGUGCUGAGCAUGGCUAAGGCUGCACAGGGUACUGGGGUGCAGCGCAGUGUUCCAGCCCCACAAGUCUCCAGACAGGGGGGUGACCUGCUCCCUGACUGCUGCUGGCACUGCCUGGCUUGACACCUCCUAGGGCACUGCCUGUGUCAGCCCCUGCUGCUGCGUCCCCGCGGCUGGAGUGCCCCCAGGUGCCUUGUCUGGUCUGGAAUAAACCCUGCUGAGCCGAGCCAGGACCUGCUGUGACAUCUGUCCCUAAAGGUGCUUCUCUGGUGCCCCAUUGAUGCUAGCAACAACCCACCCCUAGUUUAGCAGCUGGGAAGUCUGGCAAACCAGUCACUCCCCUGGAAGUACCCUUCCCAUGUCUCCAAGGAUGGAACUGUCUCCAACAUAUCCCGUGACUCUGGGAGCCUGGUGGCAUCACCAGGGUUUGCCUAAGGGGUUACACUCCUCCAGCUGGGACUUGGCAGGUGGUCCUGACCUACACUGUUACUCUGGGCCAUGCACUCAUCUAUUCAACUUGGACUCCUGCUGAGAGACCC